AAUAGAUACCCCGGUAGUCCACCCCGUAAACGUUGGGAACUAGUUGUGGGGCCCAUUCCACGGAUUCCGUGACGCAGCUAACGCAUUAAGUUCCCCGCCUGGGGAGUACGGCCGCAAGGCUAAAACUCAAAGGAAUUGACGGGGACCCGCACAAGCGGCGGGAGCAUGCGGAUUAAUUCGAUGCAACGCGAAGAACCUUAACCAAGGCUUGACAUACACGAGAACACCCUGGAAACAGGGGACUCUUUGGACACUCGUGAACAGGUGGUGCAUGGUUGUCGUCAGCUCGUGUCGUGAGAUGUUGGGUUAAGUCCCGCAACGAGCGCAACCCUCGUUCUAUGUUGCCAGCACGUAAUGGUGGGAACUCAUGGGAUACUGCCGGGGUUCAACGUCGGAGGAAGGUGGGGAUGACGUCAAAUCAUCAUGCCCCUUAUGUCUUGGGCUUCACGCAUGCUACAAUGGCCGGUACAAAGGGCUGCAAUACCGUGAGGUGGAGCGAAUCCCAAAAAGCCGGUCCCAGUUCGGAUUGAGGUCUGCAACUCGACCUCA
rnacentral:rRNA from 1 species